rnacentral:rRNA from 1 species
UACGUAGGGUGCAAGCGUUGUCCGGAAUUAUUGGGCGUAAAGAGCUCGUAGGUGGCCUGUCGCGUCGGCUGUGAAAACUCGGGGCUCAACUCCGAGCUUGCAGUCGAUACGGGCAGGCUAGAGUUCGGUAGGGGAUACUGGAAUUCCUGGUGUAGCGGUGAAAUGCGUAGAUAUCAGGAGGAAUACCUAUGGCGAAAGCAGGUAUCUGGGCCAUCACUGACGCUGAGGAGCGAAAGCGUGGGGAGCGAACAGGA